rnacentral:lncRNA from 1 species
ACAUCAGAAUGGAAAUGAAGCCAGGUAUAACGAUACACACCUGUAAUCCAGGGGGACAGAGGCGGCACAGCCGGACUUCGGGGAGACGGGACGGACCGGCUGGACAGGUGGACCGCGCCUGCCUAGGGAGACGGACGUAGAGAGGUGGAUACAGGGAGCAGGCCGCAGACACACAGACAGACAGACAGACAGACAGACGGGAUGGGUGGGUCAGGACAGGACGGGAAGCUGCACAGAGAUGCGUGUCAGGAUGACAGGAGCACGGUGGGCAGCACGGAGGUGACGGACGGCACACGCAGGCGUGAGAGAGCCACGCGGACGGACGGACGGACGGCGGACAGACAGACGUCAGAGGACAGCCGGUGGGGAGGGUGCGGCUGCUCUUUCCCUCCCUCGCAGGCUCCUGUGGGGCGCCCAGGCCCCCGCAUCCGACAGGGAGCCGCCCACCGACCGCUCUCGUCCUCGGCCUCCCCCGGCAGCAACACCGCUCUCUGUCCCAGAUUCCUGCCAGCAAACGCCCCGGCCGCCCUGGCCCGAGUGGCCCCGGUUCUCCCUGGUGUGCAGCCUGGUGUUACUCCUGGUCGUGGCCCCGCUGCUCCUGGCGCUGUGGAAGGCACAGAGGGUGAAGAAGCUGCUCAUGCCCAGCGUGCCGGACCCCAAGGGCUCCUUUCCCGGGCUGUUCGAACACCACCAGGGGGACUUCCAGGAGUGGAUCGCCGACACCCAGGACGUGGCCCGGUGGAAGAAGCCACCGAGUGGGGACCAGGACACGGGUUCGGAGCAGACGCUGGAGGUCCAGCUGUCCGGGAUGGACACAGUACUGCCCCCGGGGACCGGGCCCCUGUCCCCACACACGAGGGAGCAGGAAGCCCCCCCGGGGUCCCCGCAGCACCCUCCCCAGGACCCCCAGGGCAGUAACGUGAUCUCCAUCGGGAGCUUCACAUUCGUGAUGACCGACGGUGCCUACAUGAAGCUGUGAACUCGGGAUCCUCCUGACUCAGCCUCCUGAGUAGCGGGGAUGGCAGGCGCGCACCCCCCCCGUCUCUCUUGUUUAAUUGUAUUUUGUGGCACUCGGGGUUGAUCCCAGGGCCCUUCCCGUGAGGGGGACACUGUUGAGGUACCCCCUGAGCUCUCUGCUUUCAUUUUGAGACCGGCUGUGCGUCUGAGUGGAUCUGGUUGACCUCCAACUCGAGACCCUCCUGCCUCUGCCUCCCGUGGGGCUGGGUCACACAUGGGCACCUCCUCUCUCCUGCCUUUUGUGUUUUUGUGUGCACAGCGGGUUAAGAACUUUUUAACCUGUUGGGUUCGCGAAACAGAUUUCUCCACGGACGUGUGAAAGCCCAGAAGCCGCCGUGCUCACGGGGCUGCAGGGAGGGCAGGCACCUGUGUCCCGCACACCGGCUGUGCUGCCGGCUGCCCAGAUUUCUAAACAAACCCGCCAACCCCGGUCUAAAACGU